rnacentral:rRNA from 1 species
UCCCAGCUUUGUAGCAAUACCGAGUUGGGGGAAGUGGCGAAAGGGGCAGUAAUGCGUGGGUAACCUACCUUGGGGACGUGGAUAGCCAUUCUAACGAGUGGGUAAUACGCGGCGAUUUGAUUGAGGGGCAUCUCUUGAUCAGGAAAUGAAUUUCGCCUCGAGAGGGGCUCACGUGAUAUUAGCUAGUUGGUGGGGUAACGGCCCACCAAGGCAAAGAUGUCUAGCGGGUGUGAGAGCACGACCCGCGCCACUGGCACUGAGACACUGGCCAGACACCUACGGGUGGCUGCAGUCGAGGAUCUUUGGCAAUGAGCGCAAGCUUGACCAAGCGACGCCGCGUGUGCGAUGAAGGCCUUCGGGUUGUAAAGCACUGUCGAGGGGGACGAAGCCGAAAGGUUGACCGAUCCCUGGAGGAAGCACGGGCUAAGUUCGUGCCAGCAGCCGCGGUAAGACGAACCGUGCGAACGUUGUUCGGAAUCACUGGGCUUAAAGGGCGCGUAGGCGGCUUGCCAAGUCAGUGGUGAAAUCCCGCAGCUUAACUGCGGAAGUGCCUUUGAUACUGGCGAGCUCGAGGGAGGUAGGGGUAUGUGGAACUUCUGGUGGAGCGGUGAAAUGCGUUGAUAUCAGAAGGAACGCCGGUGGCGAAAGCGACGUACUGGACCUCUUCUGACGCUGAGGCGCGAAAGCUAGGGGAGCAAACGGGAUUAGAUACCCCGGUAGUCCUAGCCCUAAACGAUGGGUACUAGGUUGUGGACUAACAUGGGUUCACAGCCGAAGCAAAAGUGUUAAGUACCCCGCCUGGGGAGUAUGGUCGCAAGGCUGAAACUC